UUCCAUUUCUCUCUCUUGUUUUCGUCCCCUUUCCUCUCCGCACAAAACCUAGCCGGCUUCUUCCCGUAAGCCAUCACUCUCUCACUGCGAGAGAUUCUGAUUCUGGAGAGAGAAAGCCCCCACACAGCCACAAAUAUUUGUAUGCGUUUAGAUAUAGAGAGGGAAAAGUGAUGGAUUCGGAUCAGGGGAAGCUCUUCAUCGGAGGGAUAUCGUGGGAGACGGACGAGGAUAAGCUCAAGGACCAUUUCGGGCUCUAUGGCGAGGUCUUGCAGACGGUGGUGAUGAGGGACAAGACAAAUGGAAGGCCUAGGGGUUUCGGUUUUGUCGUCUUUUCAGAUCCUUCCGUUCUUGAUAGAGUUCUGCGGGAGAAGCAUGUAAUCGACGGUCGAAUGGUUGAGGCUAAGAGGGCUUUAUCUAGAGAGGAUCAGCAGAUUUCCUCCAGAUCUGGGAACUCUAGUAAUGCUAGAAGCUAUGGAGGUGGCGGAAAUUUCAGGACCAAGAAAAUAUUUGUUGGAGGCUUGCCACCUACAAUAACUGAGGAAGGGUUUCGUCAGUAUUUUGAAAUUUAUGGUAAUGUUAGUGAUGUCGUAGUCAUGUAUGAUCAGCAAACCCAGCGACCUCGUGGGUUUGGAUUUAUUUCCUUUGACAGUGAGGAUGCAGUUGAUAGAGUUCUGCACAAGCAAUUCCAUGACUUAGAUGGUAAGCAAGUGGAAGUGAAGCGGGCUCUUCCCAAAGAUGCCAACCCUAGUGGUGGUGGCCGUUCCUCAGCUAAUACUGCAUCUAGUGGUGGAGGUGGUGCUUAUCAGGGUUAUGGCGCUUCUGGUGGCAAUUCAGGUUCAUACGAUGGUCGUGCCGAUUCCAACAGGUAUAUGCAUUCUCAGAAUACUGGAGGGUUUCCUCCUUAUGGUUCUUCUGCAUUUAGUGCUCCUGGUUAUGGGUAUUCUCCAGCCAGUAACAGUAUGGGCUAUGGUGGUUACAGUGGUUAUGGUGGUACCAAUCCAGGAUAUGGUGGCCCUCAUGGUGGGGCCUAUGGAAACCCAAAUGUUCCUAGUCCUGGUUAUGGAGGUGGUCCACCAGGUGCCCCUCGAAAUUCGUGGAGCUCUCAGACUCCUUCUGGGUAUGGGGCUGUGGGGUAUGGAAAUGCUUCUCCUUGGGGUACCCCUAAUGCAAGUGGUGGUGGUCCUGGUACCGGUGGGCCCAUGACAGCAGCCACAGCUCAGUCUCCAGGUGGACCUUCAGGAUAUGGGAACCAAGGUUAUGGUUAUGGUGGAUAUGGAGGGGCUGAUGGUUCAUAUGCAAAUCAAGCUGCAUAUGGUGCUGUUGGAGGUCGAGCUGGCAGUGUUCCAAAUAGCAAUGCUUCUGCUGGGGGUGGUGGUGGAGAGCUGCAAGGUGGAGGCUAUAUGGGUGGUAGCUAUGGUGAUGUGAAUGUAAAUGCAGGGUAUGGAAUUCCAGGAUGGAGGUCUGACCCCUCUCAAACUUCUGGAAAUUAUGGGGUUCAGGUAAAUGGAGCUCAUGGUGCACAUCUUGGUUAUGGCGGUGCUCCUACUCGACAGGCUCAACAACAGUGAUUUGUUAAUUCAACUUUGGCCAGGACACCUUUUUGAUCUGAGUACAUGCAGUAAAUGCUAUUACUGUGCUUCUGGCAGGAGGGCUGACUUUUGUUAGAUCUCAUUACAAGCAUUGGGACUGGAGAUGAGAUGCUCAAGUUCUAAAGCGCUGCCCUCUCAUAGCUGAAACACAAGCUUCUAGUAGGACUAUGUUUAACGUGGAUUGGGACUUGGAGUUGUCUGGGUUGGCCUGAUGCAUGGGCUAGAGAAUGGUCAUACAGAAACCAGGCCAUGCUGGUACAGUCGAUUUCUGGGCAUCAGGCAUCAGCACCUUUUGGAUAUCAAGUCUCAGGCUCUUCAUUCAGUUACGUUAAUAUGAACUGAUGGAUCUUUCAAUGCUGAACAACCUGUGGUAUGUUAAAGUAAACCAGCUAGGCUAAAUUUUUGGUUAAUUUCAGGACAAAAUCUUUGAGUCUGCUUUAGGGGCUUAGCAGUUAGUCCUGAUUCCAGAUUCUUUAGAAGUCCAACAAUAAUUCGUGCAUUCACUAGUUAGAGAGUCAACAGAUUUUCAAUUUUUGUUUGCUGGAAAAUGGGGCACACUUGUACAGUUAACAUGUUGUCAUCCUGUGUUGUACAUUAUGUUGAUGGUGAUGGGAUGCCCUUUUUGAAAUCAGGAUCUUAAUACUUUGUUUUAAGUGUUGAUUCCCUUCCAGGAACCUAUGAAUUUUGAUGAUGAAUUUACCUGCCAAAUAUACUGAGAUUUCUUUGUGACCUGUCAGGGGCUGUUAUUUUCCAGU